rnacentral:lncRNA from 1 species
CUCCCGGCCUCGCCUCCUCACACACGAGCUGCAGAUCCGAGUCUCUCGUCUCUCUGUGUGUCAGGGACGCCUUCAAAUACUUCGCCGGUACUAAUUCAUUGGAUCUUUUGAGUUGGCGAUAAUCACUAUUAUUGUUACUAUUGUAAUUCUGCAUUGGAAGAAACUGAGGCAAAGAAAGGCUAAUCAAUUUUCUCAAAGACACACCAUUAAAAGACGGCAGCACUUGGGCGAGGACCCCACAGCCCAGCUCCAGACUCCGGGCUCCUGACUGCCGCCAUUAUGCUGCUUCCCAUCUUUGUGUGACUGCAGCCGGAUGGUAUCAGUUUAGAAGUCAUCCGUGCUUCUAUGAGAUCGGAUUAAUCUUCACCACAAGCCUGAGAGGGGCUGCAGGACUUUCAAAGCGACUGAGGAGUCCACAGAGCCAUCCCUGUGACUGACCCAGCACCUUCCGGAUGUCUUGGAUUCCUCUCUUGGAAACUGAAGGAGAAGAGCAGAUUCCCCGGGCCUAUCUUUGUGGGCUGAGGUGUGGCCCCUUGACAAGGAUGCCAAGAUUUCUGGAAUUCCUCAGGAUGCACCAUUGACUCCGUGAGGGCCCCCUCCCAGAAGGCUGGACAAGAAGAAUUGAAGCAAUAUUUUCAUCUGCUGG